GUUUGAUCAUGGCUCAGAUUGAACGCUGGCGGCAGGCUUAACACAUGCAAGUCGAGCGGGGGAAGGUAGCUUGCUACUGGACCUAGCGGCGGACGGGUGAGUAAUGCUUAGGAAUCUGCCUAUUAGUGGGGGACAACAUCUCGAAAGGGAUGCUAAUACCGCAUACGUCCUACGGGAGAAAGCAGGGGAUCUUCGGACCUUGCGCUAAUAGAUGAGCCUAAGUCGGAUUAGCUAGUUGGUGGGGUAAAGGCCUACCAAGGCGACGAUCUGUAGCGGGUCUGAGAGGAUGAUCCGCCACACUGGGACUGAGACACGGCCCAGACUCCUACGGGAGGCAGCAGUGGGGAAUAUUGGACAAUGGGGGGAACCCUGAUCCAGCCAUGCCGCGUGUGUGAAGAAGGCCUUAUGGUUGUAAAGCACUUUAAGCGAGGAGGAGGCUACUUUAGUUAAUACCUAGAGAUAGUGGACGUUACUCGCAGAAUAAGCACCGGCUAACUCUGUGCCAGCAGCCGCGGUAAUACAGAGGGUGCGAGCGUUAAUCGGAUUUACUGGGCGUAAAGCGUGCGUAGGCGGCUUAUUAAGUCGGAUGUGAAAUCCCCGAGCUUAACUUGGGAAUUGCAUUCGAUACUGGUGAGCUAGAGUAUGGGAGAGGAUGGUAGAAUUCCAGGUGUAGCGGUGAAAUGCGUAGAGAUCUGGAGGAAUACCGAUGGCGAAGGCAGCCAUCUGGCCUAAUACUGACGCUGAGGUACGAAAGCAUGGGGAGCAAACAGGAUUAGAUACCCUGGUAGUCCAUGCCGUAAACGAUGUCUACUAGCCGUUGGGGCCUUUGAGGCUUUAGUGGCGCAGCUAACGCGAUAAGUAGACCGCCUGGGGAGUACGGUCGCAAGACUAAAACUCAAAUGAAUUGACGGGGGCCCGCACAAGCGGUGGAGCAUGUGGUUUAAUUCGAUGCAACGCGAAGAACCUUACCUGGCCUUGACAUACUAGAAACUUUCCAGAGAUGGAUUGGUGCCUUCGGGAAUCUAGAUACAGGUGCUGCAUGGCUGUCG
rnacentral:rRNA from 1 species